CGGUUGAUCCUGCCGGAGGUUACUGCUGUCGGUGUUUGCCUAAGCCAUGCGAGUCAAAUGUUCUUCGUGAACAUGGCGUACUGCUCAGUAACACGUGGAUAACCUGCCCUCAGGUCUGGCAUAACCCCGGGAAACUGGGGAUAAUUCCGGAUAACGCAUAUAUGCUGGAAUGCUUUAUGCGUCAAAGGUCCUCCGCCUGAGGAUGGGUCUGCGGCCUAUCAGGUAGUAGCGGGUGUAAUGUACCUGCUAGCCGACGACGGGUACGGGUUGUGAGAGCAAGAGCCCGGAGAUGGAUUCUGAGACAUGAAUCCAGGCCCUACGGGGCGCAGCAGGCGCGAAAACUUUACAAUGCGGGCAACCGUGAUAAGGGGACACCGAGUGCCAGCAACAUUUGCUGGCUGUCCACGUGCGUAAAAUGCACGUGUUAGCAAGGGCCGGGCAAGACCGGUGCCAGCCGCCGCGGUAACACCGGCGGCCCGAGUGGUGAUCGUUAUUAUUGGGUCUAAAGGGUCCGUAGCCGGUUUGGUCAGUCUUCCGGGAAAUCUGUCAGCUCAACUGAUAGGCUAUCGGGGGAUACUGCUAGACUUGGAACCGGGAGAGGUAAGAGGUAUUACAGGGGUAGGAGUGAAAUCUUGUAAUCCCUGUGGGACCACCUGUGGCGAAGGANUCUUACCAGAACGGGUUCGACGGUGAGGGACGAAAGCUGGGGGCACGAACCGGAUUAGAUACCCGGGUAGUCCCAGCCGUAAACGAUGCUCGCUAGGUGUC
rnacentral:rRNA from 1 species